rnacentral:rRNA from 1 species
UACGUAGGUGGCAAGCGUUGUCCGGAUUUACUGGGCGUAAAGGAUGCGUAGGCGGAUAUUUAAGUCAGAUGUGAAAACCCCGGGCUCAACUUGGGGACUGCAUUUGAAACUGGAUAUCUAGAGUGCGGGAGAGGAAAGUGGAAUUCCUAGUGUAGCGGUGAAAUGCGUAGAGAUUAGGAAGAACACCAGUGGCGAAGGCGACUUUCUGGACCGUAACUGACGCUGAGGCAUGAAAGCGUGGGGAGCAAACAGGAUUAGAAACCCGCGUAGUCC